rnacentral:rRNA from 1 species
GAUGAACGCUGGCUACAGGCUUAACACAUGCAAGUCGAGGGGAAACGACGGGGAAGCUUGCUUCCCCGGGCGUCGACCGGCGCACGGGUGAGUAACGCGUAUCCAACCUGCCUCUGACUGAGGGAUAACCCGUCGAAAGUCGGCCUAAUACCUCAUGGCAUCGUCUGCGGGCAUCCAACGACGAUUAAAGAUUUCAUCGGCCAGAGAUGGGGAUGCGUCUGAUUAGCUUGUUGGCGGGGUAACGGCCCACCAAGGCGACGAUCAGUAGGGGUUCUGAGAGGAAGGUCCCCCACAUUGGAACUGAGACACGGUCCAAACUCCUACGGGAGGCAGCAGUGAGGAAUAUUGGUCAAUGGGCGAGAGCCUGAACCAGCCAAGUAGCGUGCAGGAUGACGGCCCUAUGGGUUGUAAACUGCUUUUAUGCGGGGAUAAAGUGAGGGACGUGUCCUUCAUUGCAGGUACCGCAUGAAUAAGGACCGGCUAAUUCCGUG